rnacentral:tRNA from 1 species
CGAGGAUUAGCGCAGCUGGUAGCGUACUUGAUUUGGGAUCAAGGGGCCGCGAGUUCGAGUCUCGCAUCUUCGA